rnacentral:rRNA from 1 species
AUUGAACGCUGGCGGCAUGCUUUACACAUGCAAGUCGAACGGUAACAGGCCGCAAGGUGCUGACGAGUGGCGAACGGGUGAGUAAUGCAUCGGAACGUGCCCAGUCGUGGGGGAUAACGCAGCGAAAGCUGCGCUAAUACCGCAUACGAUCUCUGGAUGAAAGCGGGGGACCGAAAGGCCUCGCGCGAUUGGAGCGGCCGAUGUCAGAUUAGGUAGUGGGUGGGGUAAAGGCCCACCAAGCUAACGAUCUGUAGCUGGUCUGAGAGGACGACCAGCCACACUGGGACUGAGACACGGCCCAGACUCCUACGGGAGGCAGCAGUGGGGAAUUUUGGACAAUGGGCGCAAGCCUGAUCCAGCAAUGCCGCGUGCAGGAAGAAGGCCUUCGGGUUGUAAACCGCUUUUGUACGGAACGAAAAGGCUCUGGAUAAUACCUGGGGCUCAUGACGGUACCGUAAGAAUAAGCACCGGCUAACUACGUGCCAGCCGCCGCGGUAAAAC